GUAGGCAAGAGUUGUUAUGUUCUUGAAUGAAGCUGUGAAGCAUGUUCAAGUUGUCUAAGCAUUACAUGGUAAUUGUAGUGAUAGGAAUGGAAACUGGAGGUUUCUAUCUAGGAGUGCCUAGGUAUAGAUUGCAUUAGGUAGGGAUUAAGUGAAGAGUUGUAAACGGGGGAGUUUAACUCUGAAUUAAUACUGCUAAUAGUGGAUCUUCUUCCUGGCUUGG
rnacentral:lncRNA from 1 species